rnacentral:tRNA from 1 species
GGACGGCUCAUCUAUUGGCGAAGAUAGGAGACUGUAAAUCUCUCGGUAAACUGUGCUGGUUCGACUCCAGCCCGUCCC